UGUGGCCCCAGCUUUGGUGGUCUGAUGCAGCACGGCAUUACCUUCUCCAGAAAUGCAUGCAUGUGGCAAGUGAACUCUGGGCAAAUGCUAUGGAAUUUUGCUAAAAUGCUGAAUUGCCACCAGCAGCUUUCCCCAGAAGAUACAUUCCAAUGAUUACUAGUACACCAUGUGUGAUCCUUGCCACUGAUGGGGAUAUGGUUUUGUUGGUCACUCCUAAUCUCUCAGGAUCCUGCUGUUUUCCCACGUGCCAAUGAAGACAAUGUCUGCUCUCUCCUGCACGGUUCAUCUGUUUUGUCACAUCAGCUUCUUGGGACUUAGUCAGAGCUACACCCACAUACACAGCACUCCCUUCUCCUGCCACCCACCGUGCAGUGACCAGCACCUGGCAGGACACCAGGUAGUGCCUUGUCCACCA